ensembl:lncRNA
AUAUAUAUAUAUAUGUAUAUGUAUAUGUAUAUAUAUAUGUAUAUGUAUUAGGAUUGUUACACAGAAAUUAAGUUAGUGAAAAUGUAUGACAAUAUCCAAAUACUUGUUCCUUAUUAACAGUGUCAUCUUUUUUCAAAUGGUUUAAAAUGUCUUCUAAUCUAGCCUUACAAUAUUACAUGUUGCUAAUACAUGCUGAUCAUUUAUGCCACUGUCAACAGCAAAUUCAUCUGGCUCAUCCAUCACUCCAUCAACCACUCCAAUAACCACUCCAUCUGCUACUCCAUCCACUUCAUCUGGCUCUACCCGGGGUGCAUUAGGCACACACCCUGUUGAUGGUAAUACACAAUUUGAGUAAAAAGUAGCCUAUUUUUUAUAUUUUAUUACAGUUUACACAGCUGGUGAUCUGUUCGUUUAGAAUUUUGGGAAAUGUUGUCUUAUUCAAUUUUUUUUCCCUUACCAGCUGAGGUUACAAGGUUAUUUGCAGCAUACAAUAGCCAAAGCAGGACAAGGCGGCCUGCAAGAAACCCCCGUUCAGUUCACACAUACACACACACAUUUUGCUGCCUUGGGCGUAAAGACACAAGUACUGUCCCAAGUAGGGUUGGCAAAGACCAACUCCUAAGAUCGGGGUUGGGGGACAGGCGCCUAGUCUUUCAAGGUAACCACGACAGUUCAUCAGAGUUCAUGGAGUUCAUUCUUGCAUCUUACCCAAAGCUGAGAGAUGCAGGUGGCUUUGAAUUACUUAAGAUAUCCGGAACUACUCGUAAUCGUCAUCUGUCCUUAAUUCCAUGCCCUAAUCAGGGUUACACUGUUACAUAUCUGAAAGAUCCUGUUCUCCUAGUAAACCACUCUAUUAUUUACAUUCGCCCGCUGCAAAGAAAUCUGAAUAUGGAUAAUGUAAGUCUGCAAUUACUUUUUUAUUUUUGGAUGAUUUUCUGUAUUAUGUUCAUCAGGGCCAUUGUCCUGCAGAGUUUUGUUUCAACCAAGCCUGCGGCACUCCUGUAAAUAACUGAAGCCUCCGCGCCUCGAUCACCCCCAGGUGGCUGGUCCCAGUAUAGCCGCCCCUCCGUGGAUUCUAAUGGACACGAGACAAACUAAACAAUCCAAUUACACUUCAUGUAAUUUUUCCCAGAGUUGGUUUCUGUCAUUUUAGGCAGUUUUUAUCACAAUGAUUUCAUUUCAAGUCUUCGUUUUUUAAAUAAUUUUAGUUUUAGUUAGUUAUUUGAUGCUAUAAAAACAGGGGGUGUGACGUCAUGAUUGACAGCAUCUCAGAGUGAAGUUGUCACUGAGGCACUAACAGACUUUUUUAGGGUGGAGACUGGAGCUUUAGCUUUCAUUUCUACAUUUUCAUAAAUGUUUAUUUCACACCGUGGGCGGGCUUUUGAUAUAUAUCGCGCCUCUAUUUCCUGCUCUCUACUGCGCAACUCCGGUCCCGAGAUCACUACUCACAUUACAAACUCGGUCCCAAAUCUGCCCAAGAUGUCAGUGCCGUGUGCGGGCCUCCGAAAGCUUCAACCAAUAGAGUCGCGUAGUCCAUAUUUUUUUAAAAGCCUAUGGUUUCAACCCCAAUCAAACCCAACUGAACAAGCUAAUACGUUUCUUUGGGUUACUAUAAAACUGCAGCCAUGUCAGUUUUUUUUUUAUCUGGGAUAGAGAUAAACUCUGCAAGACAGUGUCCCUUUAGGAUGACAGUUGUCUGUCCAUGAUAUACAAACCCGAUUCCAAAAAA